GACGAACGCUGGCGGCGUGCCUAACACAUGCAAGUCGAACGGGGAGUUAGCAAUAACUCCUAGUGGCGAACGGGUGAGUAACGCGUAGACAACCUGCCUCUAAACUGGGGACAACACCGCGAAAGUGGUGCUAAUACCGAAUGUGGUAACUUGAUCGCAUGAUCGAGUUAAGAAAGAUGGCCUCUAUUUAUAAGCUAUCGAUUAGAGAUGGGUCUGCGUCUGAUUAGCUAGUUGGUGAGGUAAUGGCUCACCAAGGCGACGAUCAGUAGCCGGUCUGGGAGGAUGAACGGCCACACUGGGACUGAGACACGGCCCAGACUCCUACGGGAGGCAGCAGUGGGGAAUCUUCCGCAAUGGACGAAAGUCUGACGGAGCAACGCCGCGUGAGUGAAGAAGGUCUUCGGAUUGUAAAGCUCUGUCGUUUGGGACGAACGUGGGUAGUGUGAAUAAUGCUAUCUAAUGACGGUACCAAAGGAGGAAGCCACGGCUAACUACGUGCCAGCCGCCGCCGUAA
rnacentral:rRNA from 1 species